CUUAGUACUGAUCAUAUCAUGCGCAUUUCAUUUCUCUUAACCAUGGCGUCGGCCAUAUUUUUAACGUCGUUUCUUAUAUAUCUACACACAUAUAUCUGCUAUGGACAACAGAACUUUUUCAAUCACCAAAACUUCAAGAAACAGCCCGGCGUAUCUGGUUUGCAGACGAAUAAAUCCAUUUAUCCAAAUAAUGAUGGAAAACCGAAACUUCAGCAGUUGCUUAACUCGCAAAACCAGCCGGAGAACUUCGAAUCUAUGCAACCCAUGACGCAAUUACAGUCUGUACCACAGACUGUUAACCAGAACACACCAGCUUUUCCAGUAACAUUCAAUCGCGCUGGAGCCGCUCCAGGAUCUAUAGAUGUACCACAGCAAGCCGUUCCAAAUUAUGUCUCUCAGGUCUCCCGACCUACACAAUAUUAUCAACAGCCCCAGUUUGCUAUUCAACAACGACCUGCUCAACCAACCCAACAUUACAAUCCACCAAUGCAGAAUUACUUGGAACCAGCCAUGGUCAUGGAAACGCCACAAUUUCCACCAUCUCCCGCGAGACCAUUAUACGGGUAUGAUGGUUUCCAAAACGGAGCUCUCUCAUACCCUCAGUACGUCCCAAUGAUACCACCAUACCCAAGUUAUCCAGUCAAUACAGUUAUAGCCGAUCAUGGUUCUCAAUCGUCAAGUCUUAAAACACUUCUUCCAAUCAUUCUCAAUUUAUUAACAGAGAAAAAUAGUUGUAAUUGUAGAUCAUGUGACUGUAAAUGUUCUAAAAACACAAGUGGAUAUUGCAAGAAAUAUCCGCUCAGUGAUGAUGGACCGGAAAUAGAAAUGUCAGAGGAGAUAGAAACUAUUAGACAUGUAAGAGAACCAAAGAAGGCUGGGAAAUUGAAAAAUGUUAUCCCCGAUAGUGCAGAAGAUGGUGAGUCAUUGGGGUCUCGUGAGGAACAUGAGGAAGAGUAAUUUAAUUUUAUUGUUUUAAUUAAUAAAUUAUUGUUUUACAACAUUAAAUAUAAUUUAAUUGAUG